CCUUUUUAUUUUAUUAUGCAGGUGAUGAAGAUAAGGUUUAAGGGGAACAGAAAAGGAAUCUGAAUAGCCCAGAGUCACUCAUAUGAUAUAAUAUCACAUUUAUUUAUUAUUUAUGGUCAUUGCUCUUAUCUUUUGCCCCAGUUUUUCUUAUCCAUAAUUUUUACACAACAAUUUCUAAUUCUCAUCUGCAUAGAUAGAUAACUAUUUUUUUUUGUGUUAUCAUCAGCAGUAGCAUACUUAUAUAUAACUGCAUUGUGGAUCAUUGGAAUGAGCCAAGAAUAUAUGAUGAUGGUCAUAAAAAUGGAGUCUUUUUUCAACCCGGAAAAUAAGAAUGGGAUAAUGUAUGAAGAAAAAUUUCAAGAUUCUGUUUCAUGAACCUCAAGUAGUACUCUUGAAUCUUCAGAAUCUGAUUUGUUUGAAGAAGUAAACUCAUCUGAUCAGCAUCCAAAUGCAAAUGGCCCUUUACAAGACGUCUUCUUUGAUACAACAACUGCCCAUCAAGUAAGUUAUUGUUGUUCAUUUGAGUAAAAGUUUACUUAUAAGUAAAUAUGUUAAUUGAAUGGUUUUUGGUUUGCAGAAGAGGGCUUUCCGAACAUUACAGUGGCAAAUCACAAUCUUUUACUUCUUUAUCAAACAUGAGGUGCUUAGGCCACACCAAAUUUAAAGUAAGUUAUGUACUAUUUUGCACCAAACUGAGAUUCAUCUUAUAAUCAAUGCAUCAAAAAGAAGUUGAACUAAAAUGUUGGUUUAAUUAAUUAUUUUUACAAUGGUAGACCAUUUCGAGUAUAUUCUAUUAGCUAGAUAAUAAUUAUCUUAUUUUUCUUGAAUGACGAAUUGAGUCGACGGAGCAAUACCAAGUGAUGUUCGUGAAAAGAUGGAAUCUUUCCAAAACAUUGAUAUAAUUGUUUGAACUUGAAAGUCUAAAAUAUGCAUGCAAUAUCAUUUGAUGACUCUAUGACCGGGAAUGGAGCCUGUAUGUGCUCAUUGGUUAAUAUAUCGAUUGGCUUACUGAGCAAUAAGGAGGUUGUUGUUCAAACAUAUGAGAGUUAUCUAGGAUAUUUGUACUAAAUCAUCUUCACCUCUAGAUUGGAUUUCAUCAAAAUUUCAACCAUUCAACCUAUGCUACAAAUCUUAUAUUGUAGAUAGGAUAUUUGGGAUAAACCAUCUUCAACAUUAUAUUAGAUUUCAUAAAGAUCUCAACCGUUCAAUCUAUACCGACAAAUCUUAUUUCAUCUAUCAUUUUUCUAUAAAAUAUCACACCAUAAUCAUUGGAUCUAACAUUUAUUUUUUUUCGAAAUUUUACCUUCACUUUCUCAAUAAUUCCCUAACAACAAGUUCUGUUCUACGAAGUUCUUCAUACUCACAUAAAAAAGACGUACACAUAUGUUGAGUCUACCUUGAUAUAUCCAAAUGUGCAAUUAUUAUUAUAAACUAGUAAAUGGACCAAUUUUGGUCUCGAAGAGAGCGUGAAUACGACGAGAAACUUCCUUCAUUUAUCGAUCUUACUUGAUCUAAAAGAUCCCAAAUGAAGUAAAUGCAAGUUAUUAACAUUGUAGUUAGUAAAAUGUAGGGAUAUAUUUGACAAGUGAAACUUCUGAAUUCAAGUGGUGCUCAAAUGAAGAUAUUGUGAGGAUUAUUCGCAAUAUUUGCUAACAAAUAUUAAGUUCAAUACAUAAUUUUGUAUAAUUUAUUUUUUAUAGCAAAUAUAUUCAUCCAAAUUGUGCUUCAGAUGAACAUAUUUUAAAUGUUAAUUUUACUUAUAGAAACAUUUAAAAUUAUUGAACCAUUUCAGAAAAAAGCUAAAAAAUAAAUUAUACAAAUUAUGUCAUUUAGAAGUAGUAGAGAAAUUAUGUAUUGAACUUAACAUUUGUUAGCAAACAUUACGAAUGAUACUUACAAUAUCUUUAUCUGAGGCACCACUUGGAUUUAGAAGUUCCACUUGUCGAACACAUCCUUAUAUUUUAUUAACUGCAAUGUUAAUAACUUGCAUUCACUUCAUUAGGGAUCUUUUAGGUCGAGUAAAACUGAUAAAUGAAGAAAGUGUGUCGUUGUAUUCACUUUCCACUCGAGAUCAGAAUUGGUCCCUUGGCUGGUCUGUAACUAUAAUUGCAUUUUUAGAGAUAUGAAGGUAGACUCGACAUAAGUAUAUGCCUUCUCAUUUGAGUAUAAAGAAUUUUAUAAAACAGAACUCGUUGUUAAGAUAUUAUUGAGAAAGUGAAGUUAAAACUUGGAAGAAAUUGAAGGUGAAUUCCAAUGAAGUAUGGUGUGAUAUUUUGAUAGAAGAAAGGAUAGACGGGAUAAGAUUUAUAGGAUGAUUGAAUAGUUGAGAUCUUUAAGAAAUCCAAUUUAAUUGUGGAGAUGGUUUAGCCUAAGUAUCCUAUCUUCAAUAUGGCACGAUAAGAUUUAUGGUCAUUGAAUGGUUGAGAUCUUGAUGAAAUCCAAUCGAAAUGUGAAGAUAGUUUAGCCUAGAUAUCGUAUCUUGAAUAUGGUAGGAUAAGAUUUGUAGGUAUAGAUUGAACGAUAAAGAUCUUGAUGAAAUCCAAUCUAAUAUUGGAGAUAGUUUAGCUCACAUAUCCUAUCUUGAACAUGACAAGAUAAGAUUUAUGUGCAUAGACCAAACGGUUGAGAUCUUGAUGAAAUUCAAUCUAAUGGUUAGUCAAGAAUCCUACGUGACAAGUAAAAUUUGUGUACAUAGAUUGAACAGUUGAAAUCUUAAUAAAAUUCAAUCUAACAUUGGAGAUUGUUUAGUCCAGAUAUUGUAUCUAAAGGUGGACCAAGUAUUCAGCAACAAUAAAAGACAGUAUUGAACUGUGGUAAUGCUCCAAUAAUGAUAUCAGUGUUUUAAAGAGAUCACAUCUUUUUACAAACAUCGCUCUCAAAGUAUUGCUUCGCUAGCUCAAUACAGCCUUCAAGAAAAACAAUAUAACAUAGGUUAUUAUGUAGAUGAUAAUAUAUGCCUGAAAUGGUUUACCAUUGCACAAAUGAUUUAUAAGCCACAAGCUCCCCCCAAAAUUAUUUGCAAUAAAACAAGAAGCAUGUAAAAAAGAUGUUGAGCGUGCAUUUAACGUUUUAGAAUCGAAGUUUGCAAUUAUGAAAUGACUACAGGUUUUUGAAAAAAAAAAAUAUGUAUUACAUGAUAUAAUGACUACAAUCAUUAUUAUGCAUAAUAUGAGAAUCAAGGACAAACGACAAACAUGAUCUUGAUACACCAGUUCAAGUUUGGAUGAAGAGUCAAUUCUAAAAGUUUAUUUGCUAGAAGAUGAAAAUUAUCGCUUUCGAGAAUUCCUUACUUGUCAUAGACAAUUCAAGGAUAGGGAAGCUCACAUUUCACUUCAAAAAUGCAUCAAUUGAUUAUUUGUGGGAUGAAUAUACGAAUUUCGAGAAUUAAAUGACAAUACUAGUUCGACUUAAUAAUAUCAUGAUAUCAGAAUUCAAAAAUGUAUUACACUUUUGGAUAUUAUAAUUUAAUAUUUCUUAGUUGUGGCAUUUGUAUUAAUUGCUCUACAUUUUUUUAUAUCUACUAAUAAUUCAAUAUUUUUCAUAAGUAAACGUAAUUAUUUAUUUAGUAAUUUAUGUAGUAAUAAAAUAAAUAGAUGAAUAAUUUUUUAAUUAAAUAAAUUGCUAAGAAUUAAAAUCAAAAAUAAAAAAAUGAUGAAACACUACUCUUUUGGUGUAUUGGAUUGGAGAUGAUUUUACAGUAUGGUACAAAAUGAUGCAAAACUUACCUCAAGUUUUGUUGUAGCAUUUGAGGUGGCCUAAGAACAAACUUCUUGUUUACAAUCUAUACCAUCUGCCGGCAAAUUUUAGAAAGUAAUAAAAAUGCAAUUUUUCAAAUUUUGCCUUUAACUUCCUCAAUUGUUAAUAAUUAAAUUAUCAGAUUUUGAACCAUAUUUAAUUAUAUUACCAAUAAAUCCUUUUCCAACCAGUGUUUACGAUAUUCCAAAAACAAAUUGAUAAAACAAAUUGUGUCUCAUGCAUUAAAGGUAAUUGAUUUAAUUUAGGUAUUUUUCUAUCGUAUCAGCUUUCCUUUUAUUUUGUAAUUUUAUAAAUUUGAGAUUCAACAGAUAUUUUUAUUUUUCAUUAUAAAAGAAUUAUAAUGAAUACAUUAUUUUAGAAAAAUCCUUGACAAUAUUAUAAUAAUAUGAUGAUGAUGAUGAUAAUGAUAAUGAUGCAAAAUGACGUCAUUAUAUUGAAUGUCAAACUUGUUAAUUGUAUAUCGGUAAUAAAUUAUUUUUGUAUACCAAUCACUAAAAUGCUUAUAUUGAGUUAAAAUUUCACCAACCAACUAAAAGAAUAAAAUUCUUUCACUUUCUUUUUGUCACUUCGUCAAUGCUUAAAAAAAAAAAAAAGAAAAAAAAAAGGAUGUGAAUGGUAAUGUACAACAAGCAUUUUUCAUAAAAUAUAUAAAAAAAAUCGGCAAAAAGAAAACGAGAAGAACUUGUAGUGAAGCCCUCUUCAAGCUCGAUGGAGGUUGUCGACUUCUAUUUGGCAUCUUUCUGUUUUUACGUAGAUUAUCAAGAUAAAGAGAACAGAAAAGGAAACUAGAUAAUACCGAGACAAUCGUACAAGAAUUUAUCUAUUUGUAAAGAAUUUUUUAUCCAAAUUGUUUAUAGAUGCAGUGGUGGCGACAGAUAAUUCGUCUCAAUUUCUUCUUCUUUUUCUUUUUGAUUGACCACCCAAUGACAGUGACAUCCAAUCAAAGUGUAUGUAAGUUUUUUUUGUAUAUAUAGCACACUCCAUUAUAUAUCAUAUUCAUUCAUCAUUAUUAUUAUUUAUAGUCCUUGCUCUUACUUUUGCCCCCAUCUUUUCUUAUCCAUAUUAUAAUUGCAUGCUGGAUCAUUUGAAUGAGCCAAGAUUUGAAGAAUAUAUGAUGAACGUCAUAAAAAUGGAUCUUUCUUGAACCCAGAAUACAAGAUGGGAUCAUGGAUGAAGAAAAAUCUCAAGAUUUUGUUGUAAGUAAUUAAACCAUAACACCAAAAUCUUUAGAAUUCAUGAUUUUCACAUAUGAAUUUAAUUAAUCAAGAAACAUACCUUGAUCCAUGGCAAUGAUUGAGAAUUUUAAAUCUGCAAACGAAAAAUUGUUAAAUGAAAGAAACUGUUCUCUCACUUUUCCUCUCUAUAAUUGAAUGAAUUAAUUGAUGAAUUUCACUCACGUUUAUAGGCAGAGAGACGGUUUCUUAUGGGCCAUAAAACUAUUCACUUUCUUCAAAGUGAACGGUUAUUAAACUGCCACUUCUUAAAUAGGCCAAUUGAAUUUAAGAAAUAUAAACCACUUUAAUUAAUUAAUUAAUAAUAUUACGUGGGCCACAAUUAAUUGGUUUACAUUUUCCCACUUGGCCCAUGUAAUAUUGCUCCGUUAUGUGAUUUAUAACAUAAUAUGCAUAUCUUAAGCAAAUCCCUCGUACAUUGGCCCCUUAAUAUAUCAUCCUUAAGUAAAGACUAAUAAGAGUCAUGGCGAUUUUACACCAUCAUAUUGGCAUAGUUCAUUCCAUGUACUACAAUACUAGUCCUUACUUAACAUGAUACGUAAUGAGAAGUUCGAUAAUUACAUUUUAAUAAUGUUUUUAAAAAGACUAUCCCUAUUAUCAUUUACACAAUCUACUAACAAUUAUGAUAGGAAUAGUAUCUUGUCAAAAACAAUACAUAAAUGAACUCAAAGUGUCAAUAUAUGAGCAUCAUAAAUUACAUAAUAAUGUGAAUGAUAAUUUUCAAGAAUGCCAAUUCUCUUAACAUGUUCAUUAAAUGUCUUUGGUAGUAAUCCUUUCAUUAAUGGAUUUGCAAUCAUAAGAUUGGUGCUAAUAUGUUCGAUUGACAUCUUUUGUUUUUGAACUUUUCUUUAAUAGCAAAGUACUUCAAUUCCAUUUGUUUAGCAUCUUUAAAGUAUUUGUCGUUAUUUGAAAAAAAGAUCACUGUAGAAUUAUCAUAAUAAAGUUUCAGCGGCUUGGCUAUACCGCCGACGAUUCCAGGCACUGAAAUAAAGUCUCGCGGCCAAUUUCCUUGAACUGUGGCCUCAAAGCAUGCCAUAAACUCGACUUUCAUUGUAGAUGCAGUAAUAACCGAAUGUUUUGCCCUUUUCCAUGAUAUAGCUCCUCCAGCCAAGAGGAAUAGAUGGCCGAAUGGGGACUUUCUAGUGUCCAUACAUCCAGCAAAGUUCGAAUCUGAAUACCCAUUGACCUCCAAGUUAUCAGAUUUCCUAUAAGUGAGCAUGUGAUCUUUCGUUCCUUGCAAGUAUCUUAUUACUUUCUUUGUAGCUUUCCAAUGAUCAAUUCCCGUGUUACUUUGAUACCUACCCAGUAUUUCGACAGCAAAACUGAUGUCAAGUCUGGUACAAGUCUGAGCAUACAUCAAGCUCCCAACAAGAGAUGCAUAAGGAAUAGCUGUCAUUUGUUUGUGUUCCAAUUCGUUUUUAGGACAUUGCAUAAAACUAAAUUUGUCUCCAUUCUGAAUUGGAACGACACUCGCCGAACAUAUUUUCAUAUUAAAUCUCUCUAAAAAUUUAUUGAUAUAUGCCUUUUGACCCUAACAAUCCUUGUGACCUAUCAUGGAAUACUUCAAUUCCAAUCACAUAAGUUGCCUCUCCCAUAUCUUUCAUUUCAAAAUUUUUAGAGAGAAAUUUCUUAGUCUCGUGUAAUAGACCAAGAUCAUUAGUAGCUAGCAAGAUGUCAUCAACAUACAGAAUACAAAAUAUAAACUUGCUCCCAUUGACCUUUAGAUAUAUACAUUGAUUAACAAUGUUUUUCUUAAAUCCAAAGGAAGUAAUGGUAUCGUUGAACUUAAAAUACCAUUGACGGGAAUCAUGUUUAAGUCCGUAUAUUGAUUUCUUUAACUUACACACCAUGUGUUCCUUUCCUUCCACUGAAAAGCCUUCAAGUUGAUCCAUAUAAGCUUCUUCAUCUAUUUCAUUUAGAAAAGCGAUUUUCACAUCCAUUUCAUGUAACUCUAAGUCAUAAUGAGCUACUAAAUCCAUUAUAAUUCUGAAUGAGUCUUUCUUAGAGACUGGCGAAAAUGUUUCUUUAUAAUUAAUGCCACCUUUCUGAGUCAAAUCUUUGGCAACAAGUCUAGUCUUAUAUUGUUCGAUAUUACCAUUAGAGUCGCGCUUGGCCUUAAAGACCCAUUUACACCCAACUCUUUUACAUGAUUUAGGUAAUUCGACAAGACCCCAAAUCUCAUUAUGCUCCAUAGAUUUCAACUCAUCUUUCAUAACAUUUAACCACUUAUCAGAAUUAGCGCUCUCAAUAACUUGUGAAAAUGAAACUGGAUCAUCAUCAACAAUUCUCAAAUUAAAUUCAGACUCUUGUAAGCAACCACAUAAUCGUCAGAAAUAGCAGGUCUAUGUUGUCUUUGUGACCUUCUUAAUGCUAUUUCUUAUGGUUCAUUUAAUGUAUGUUCAUCAGUUGCAGCUUCAUUGUGGGGUGUUUGAUCAUUUAUUUGUUGUUCGAAUAAAUAGUCAUGACAUUCAACAAUUUGAGGAACAAAACAAUAUUAGAAGAAGUUGAGGGUAGAGAAACUUGAACUCUAACUUCUUGUAUUUUCACAUUUCGUGGUUCCAAACUCCUACUAACUUCACCAUUCUCAAUGAACCUAGCAUUUUCGGUUUCAACAAUUCUAGUUCUUUGGUUAUGACAAUAAAAUCUAUGCCCUUUUGAUUUCUCUGGAUAACUAAUGAAAAAUCCAUUAAUUGUUCUUGAGUCAAGUUUCUUUUCAUGUGGAUUAUAAAUUCUUGCUUCUGUCGGGCAACCCUAAACAUGAAGAUCCUUAAACUAGGUUCCUUCCGUCCACAGUUCAAAGGGGGAUUUUGGAACUGCCUUACAAUUACGCCUUUGGCCACACCAUUUUGUUGUGGUGUGCCUAGCAUAAUGUAUUGAGAACAUAUGCCAUGUCUUUCAAGAUCAUAAUUUCCAUAAUAUUCACCACAUCUAUCAGAUCUAAUAAUUUUUACCUUUCUAUCUAAUUGCCGUUCAACUUCAUUGACAAAGAUCUCUAAAGUAUUUACAGCUUAAGACUUUUCAUCAAGCAGAUAGACAUAACCAUAACGUGAAAAGUCAUCAAUAAAGGUGAUAAAAUAAUUUUCGCCACUAAAUGAUGGAACAUUAAAAGGCCCUCAUAUAUCGAUGUGUAUUAUCUAAAGAAGCUGUGUGCUUCUUGUGGCUCCUUUCUUUUUAUGUUUAGUUUGUUUACCAUUAAUACAAUCCACACAAGUUCCAAGAUCACCAUAUAAAUCCAAGCCAGGAAGGAUUUCAUUUUUUACCAAUCUUUUUAUCCUUUCCUUGGAUAUGUGAUCCAAAUGUUUAUGCCAUAAAUUAGCAGAUCAUUCAUUCAACAAACCACGUUUAGUAGCAACAUUAUGAUGCAAGGUUAAAAGAGUCUUAGUAAAAAGGUUAUUGAACUUUAAUUUAUAUAAGCCAUCAUAAAGAAUAGCGGAACUAAUGAGAAGAUUUUGUUUAAACAAACUUAAACAUCCAUUUCUACCAUUAAAGAAAUAUCCAGCGGAAUCAAGUUUCGAUAAGGAAACUAAAUUACGAGAAAUAGAAGGUACAUAAAGAGUUUGAAAUAAAUUUAAAUGAUGUCCAGUAUCUAAAAUCAAACGAUAAGUUCUAAUGGCUUCAACUGGAGCUUUGACUCGAUUUCUCAUGAGGACAAACUUUUCAUUUGGAUUUAUAGCCUGGGUUGAAAAGAAUCCCUGCAUUAUAUUAGUAACAUGAGUGGUAUAUCCAUAAUCAAUCCACCAAGUAUUAUAAGGAACUUCUGCCUAAUUAGAUUCGAAACAUACAUAAGAAAUAAUCUUACCUUUACUUUCGAACCAUGCCUUAUGUUUCAGGCAGUCCCUUUAUGGUGCCUAGUCUUACGACAUAAAUGACACGUAUCUUUCUUGUGUUCCUUUUUGUAGAUUUAGGCAGAAGACUCAUUUAUUUUUAGCGCUCUUUGCUUUAUGCCCUUUCCAGGCCUUUUCUUAUAUUUUUUUCCAACUCCUUGAUGACUUAAAAGAUGAACAGAAUGAAUUCCUUGAUUUUUAAGCCUUGUCUUCUCUUGCACGAGUAUACUGUGCAAUUCAUUCACAUUCCAUUUAUCCUUCAAGGUGUUAUAGUUCAUAUGGAAUGGACCAUACUCAGGAGGCAACGAGUUGAUGAUAAAUUGUACCAGAAAGUUCUCAUCCACAGUCAUGCCACGAGUCUUAAAUCUUGCUGUAAUGUUACUCAUUUUGGUAGCAUGAUCAUGCAUAGUAUGAGAACCAUCAAAUUUCAUGGUGGUUAAGGUACUGUGUGCUAGCAAGUGAUUUGUCAGCUUUUCGUGAACGUUCUUCCACAAACUUCAUAUAUUCCUUAGCAAUCUCAGUUUUUGGGAUAAUAGACUUGAUAUUCUUUGCUAAGGUCAUCGCAUAAACAUUAGGCUUAAUCUGUUAGACCUUUCCCAAGCCUUAUGGGAAGAUCUUUCAUCAGCACUGCUCUCAUCAGUAAGGUCAGCAGGUUUCUCAACUUGAAGAGCCAAGUCCAAGUCCAAAACACCUAAAUUGAAUUAGACUUGUUCACACCAAUCAAAGAAAUUGAGCCUAUUAAACAAUGGUACAGUUGAAGCAUGCGAAUGCAGAGAAAUGUGAACAGAUACUGCAAAAUAUAAAAUGCUCUAACAUUAAUGCUUUGAGUUUAGAUUUAAAUACUUAAAUUCAGAUUCAAAUAACAAUAAAUGUAUACUGUAGUUCUCCUUUAGGUAAUACUACAUUAUACCAUCAUAAUAAACAUAAUGAUGCUAAUUUAAUUUCACUUAUUGGUAAUUAAAUAUACUUUAAUCAAACAUGUAUGUCAUCUUUGGAUAUACAAAACACAUCUAACUAAGUAUAUUAAUUAACCACGAUCAUGUUCAAGAUUAAUAAAAUUAACUGAUCAAGCUUUGAGCAAUUCAUAAUAAAUUUUAUAAUCUAUGAACAUCAAUGUAAUCUUAUAAUCUGUGAAUGUCAAUGUACUCUAGACAAUAAUAAUCACAAUGUCAUCUUCAUUUAUAAACAUCAAACUAUCAAGAGCAAUUGACAAAUAAAUUAUGUAAUUUAGUGUUCGAAAUACUAUAAUUUUUGGCCACUUUGGUGACUAACAAACAACAUUAAUUACAUAAAUAAAAUAUGAAUAAUGUAAGUGAUUAAACUAGACAUAACCUAAUUUAUUUCAUAAUUCAAAUUAAAAUAUGAAACAAUAAAUGCCCAAUACAAAAAAAAAGUCAAUAUAUAUGUACACUACCGAUAUUGAACACAAAUAUACAAACUUAUAGAUAUAAUAUUAUAAGCCAAUAAACUUCAUAAAAAAAAAAUUCCAAAAUUCUUAGGCAGUAGAGUAAAUCACACGUUACUGUCCAAUAUCUUCGCUCCAUUAAUUUAUUCGCAAUAAUUUAUGUGAAAAUUACAUGAAAAUAGAUUUUUGAACUUCUCAAUUCAAAAAUCGAGUUUAAAGUUUUCUUCUUCAAAUAUCAGGUGAUAAUUUAUCUUUUAGAUAUUUAUAAUAAUAACUUCAAAUUAAAUUAAUCCCCAUCAAACCCCAAUUCACUCUCGAACAGAUUCAUCCCUGCCUCACACUUCUCUCUCUCUCUCUCUUCUCUCUCUACCCUCUCUACAUACUUGUUCCGACGAUGGCUACAACUCUCCAAUCUAUCUUACGGUGUUACUCAAGAUCUGCCCUCGUGCAGCGUCGCUAGCGUCGCCUUAUUGCGCACAACAGCGACGCCUUGCUUUUCCAAAAAUAUAAUCAUUGUGCUUGAUGUUCUUCAUUUUCUUGCAUUCACGCUCAAGCUCUUUCAAGGACUUUAUUAUGAAGGCAGCGACAACUGUGACCUUGGCCUGGUUGUUACGGACAUUGAGCUUAACAAUGAUGAGAAAGCCCUUUCUAGUCCUUUGCAAUUUCCUUUGCCAUUUCCUCACCGAUUUUCUUAGGUGACUGUCCGAAGGGUUCAAUUUUUGGAGUGAGGAAACUAGCAGCUCCGAAUAGAGGUGGUGGUGAUGGUAAUGGGUUUGGGGAUUUUUUGGUGGGGGGGGGGGGGGGGUUGUGGUGUGGUAGAGAUGGGGAUGGAGAUGGAGAUGGUAGUUGGGAAUUUUCGAUAGGUGUGGUGGUGCAUGUGGUAGUUGUGGUGCUGGGUUUCAGUUGGAUUGGGGUUGUAUAGAGAUGGUUUGUGACCAAUUAUUUAGGUGUGUGUGACCGAUAUAAUUUAGUUAAUUUGUAACCAGUAAAUAAUAUGUGAACACUAAAUAAUUUGUAACCAAAUGUGACCUUAGAAAAUGUGAGAGCGUGUUUACAAGUCACAUAUUCCAUUUCACAAAUCAAACUUCAUAGGUUAUGUGUCAUUGUGUAAAACUUUAAAAGUUUAAAAGGUUGGGUCACAAACUUUAAAAGUGUGUGUGUGUGUGUAUAUAUAUAUAUAUAUAUAUAUAUAUAUAUAUAUAUAUAUAUAUAUAUAUAUAUACACACACACACAAGCCACUUGUCAUUGUACAUUGGUCAUAGAAUGUCCACAUAUCAUAGACCAAAUAGAAUCAAUCACAUAUCACUGAUUUAUGUUCAUAGGUUACAAUUCACAAGUCAUUGGUCAUACUACAUAGGUUACAUAUCGAUGUCAACAAGUCACAGUUCAAUAUUAACUUGUCACCGAUUAGAUGUCAGAUAUUUUUGUGCAUUGAUAAUAGGUCACAGAUUCAAGUUCAGAGAUCACAAGUCACAAGUCAUUUUAUAUAGGUAACAGAUCUAUGUUUAUAGGUCACAUAUACAAAAGAAUUGAUCAUAGGGAAUUUGAUCAAUAUUGGAGGUAACGGAUCAAUGUCCAAAGGUCACAGAUAUAAGAGAACUGUUCACAGUCCAUUGGAUUAACGUCACAUGUAAUAAUUUAAAUUUGAUGAUAAGUCAAACAUGAGAAAUCAAAUUUUCACUCCAUCGAUAAACCAGUUCUCUGCGGUAGUUUAAAUCACAUCACCAAAAAUCUCAUUCCUUCAAUCAUUAUGAAGCGAGUCGAUUGUCCAAAUUGAAGUUCGAUUAGAUAAUCCUUGAAUUCUCGUCGAUAUUUUGCUAAAUUAAAAUCCAAACAAGUUGUUACCCUUGAGAUAUUGUAAUCAUGGAUCUCGAAUUAUGCACAUUUAUCUAGAUCUGUACUAUCACUAUGGUGUGAGAGAGGAUGGAGGCGGGUAAAUGUUAGUGACUGUGGUUGGGCGAAUCUGUAGAGGGAAAUUGAAGUGGGUUGAGAUAUAAGAAUUGAUGAUAUUUAUUAGAUAUAUAAUAUAUUAUAUUUAUUAAUUAUCAACUGAGUUUUGAAUUUUUAAACAUUUUCUCUUAAAAUUGAAUUGGGGUAAACUUAAGCCUGAGUUAUGUAUUCUUCCUAUAAUUUAUUUGCAUAAAUCAUAUCACUGCCACUUUCUUUCCGGAUCACAGCAAAGCCCAAUUUCCAAAUGAAUUUCAUGUGUUCUGUGGGUUCUUUUAUGAUACUACAACAUGGAUCAAUAUUAAAAUAAAAAUAAGAAAUAUUGUAAGUAUCAUGGAUCAAUAUUAAAAUAAAAAUAUGAAAUAUUGUAAAACUCAUUUCUGCCACAUGAACAACAUACAUGAUUCUGCCACAUGUUCUUGAUCCAUAUAUUAAAGGACUCAUUUUCUUGAUCCAUUUGUAGCAAUUAAGGAGAAAAUUAAGAGCCCAUAAACAAACUUCACAAUUAAUGACUGCGCAGUAUUAACAAAAUGAAGAACCCAUAAAUGAAUUAUUAUGAAACCCAAAAAAAAAUAAAAAUAAAAUAAAAAUGCAGCCGGGAAUAAUUUGUUUCAUUAAUUUCAACAAAACUUCGUUCAAUAAAUCUAUAAUAAAUAAUUAAGGAUCGAUAAGUGGAAAACAUUAAUCUUUAAAGGAAAAUCAAGAAUUCCCUAGCAAGGUUCCAAUACAAAAUGUAAGCAAUUAAACCCUAACACCAAGAUCUUUAAAAUUCAUGAUUUUCACAUAUGAAUUUAAUUGAUCAAGAUACAUACCUUGAUCCAUGGCAAUAGUUGAUAAUUUUAAAUCUGCAAAAGAGAAACUGUUAAAUUAAAGAAAUUAUUCUCUCACUUUUCCUCUCUAUAAGUGAAUGAAUUAAUUGAUAAGUUUCACUCACGUUUAUAGGCGGAGGGAGGUGGUCUCUUAUGGGUCAUAAAACUGUCUACUUUUCAUCAAAGUGGACGGUUAUUAAACUGCCACUUCUCAAAUGGGCCGAUUGGAUUUAAUAAAUAUAAACCACUUUAAUUAAUUAUUUAAUAAUAUUACAUGGACCACAAUUAAUUAAUUUUACAUCUGUUUCAUCUUCCUCUAGUAGUACUUUCGAAUCUUCAGAAUCUGAUUUGUUUGAAAAAAUAAACGCAUCUGAUUAGCAUGCAAAUGAUCAUUUACAAGACAUGUCUUCUUUGAUCCGACAACUGCCCACCAAGUAAGUUACUGCGAUUCAUUUAAGUAAAAGUUUACUUAUAAGUAUUUAAGCAUGUUAACUGAUCGGUGAUUUUUGGCUUGCAGAAGAGGGCUUUCGGAGCAUUGCAAUGGCAAAUCACAAUCCUUUACUUCUUUCUCAAACGUGAGGUGCUUAGAAGACCUUGCAAAACCUGAGAAUCGGUAUAAUAAGAAUAAGAAGCUCAAGUCGUGCAAAAGUGAUGGAGGAAUUUAGAGGGGUACUACUGAUGUAGGCAGCCUCGGAAAAGCAAGAUUGAUUCAAGAAUUAUUCAAAAGAAGACAUCAAGAGGGUCUUGUGGGAGGAAGAGUUCGAGGCCUCCUAUACCCUCACCUCGUAGAUCAACUAGCUUUACAAAUCAAGCCCCUUUGUUUGCUUAAAGGGUUUAUCGCUUGGUGCUAGCUAGUAGCAAAUCCAAUCUUGUUUCAUUCAUCAAUACAAUUCUCUCUUCUUCAAUUUCCAUGAAGAAAAGAGAUCUUUAUUAGCUAGACGAUCAUUGCUUUUUGGUGUAGUGAGUUGUACAAGGAAGUAAUUAAGAAAAAAAUUAAACAAAAAAGGUCAUAAAUUUUCUUUUAAUUUGGCAGAAAGGUUGUAGAACGAGUAAUGUUAUUUAUCAUUAGUAUAAUCUUGGUAGUGGAU
rnacentral:lncRNA from 1 species